GAUGAACGCUGGCGGCGUGCCUAAUACAUGCAAGUCGAGCGAACAGACGAGGAGCUUGCUCCUCUGACGUUAGCGGCGACCGGGUGAGUAACACGUGAGUAACCUACCUAUAAGACUGGGAUAACUUCGGGAAAACGGAGCUAAUACCGUAUAACAUGUUGAACCGCAUGGUUCAACAGUGAAAGACGGUUUUGCAGUCACUUAUAGAUGGAUCCGCGUCGCAUUAGCUAGUUGGUAAGGUAACGGCUUACCAAGGCAACGAUGCGUAGCGGACCUGAAAGGGUGAUCGGCCAGACUGGAACUGAGACUCGGUCCAGACUCCGACGGUAGGCAGCAGUAGGGAAUCUUACGCAAUGGGCGAAAGCCUGACGGAGCAACGCCGCGUGAGUGAAGAAGGUCUUCGGAUCGGAAAACUCUGUUAUUAGGGAAGAACAAAUGUGUAAGUAACUAUGCACGUCUUGACGGUACCUAAUCAGAAAGCCACGGCUAACUACGUG
rnacentral:rRNA from 1 species